GCCGCGACUGCGGGGCGUGGAGAGCGUCGCUUAGUUGUUGCCGGAUGCUUCUCAGCACCUGUGCCUGCCUGCAGUCCCCAGUGCAUUCGGUCCUGCGGCCCGGGGUCUCGCUGCUGUGCGACUCUCCUUCAGACAGAUGAAGGCUCUUCCUUGGAUGUUUUCGCUGGUUCUCCAGAAACCAGCGCCCCCUUUUCUCCGCACUCCCUGGUGGGUGCAGUGUCCAGGGUGAGGAUGUCCCCGGAUGAGUCCACUGUGUAUGGAGGCACCAUAGGAGUUGUCAUCUCAGGAACAUUCUAGACCCCAGGGAUCUUGAGGGAUGCUUCCUUGGAUCUGGAGAUAGUGGAAGGAAGCCCCAAGGAAUGGAGGCACUGACCCUCUCAGGAUAAUGGCAUGGGGUGCCAGCUCUGCUUACGGUGAGUUACUGCCAAGAAGCCAAGUCGGCUUGUGUUUCUGAGAUUGAAAUGGAAAUUCCAAGCCCCGGGGUCAACUGACUUUCUCUUGGUUCGUGAUGUUGAUGGAGGACGCUGGCAUAGCAGAAAGUGAAGUGCGAUGUCGCCAAGUGACGCAUUGCCAGACCUUGCCACUGUUGCCUCAGCACAACAUGGAAUGAUCAGGGAAAGGAAAGCCUGGGUUCUGGGGACUUGGGGUUCAGAGGUGGAGACCCUUCAGUCGGCUCUGCCCUCCUCAGCAGUGCCACGGAUCUGUGGAUGGGAAGACUGGUCUCCAUUUCAUGUGUGGCCAGCUUCUGUGUCUUCUUGCCUACUCCUGGUGUAACUGUUUAGAUACUGUGUCCUUGUCCUUUUGCCUCAAUAAAUUUUGAAGUAUGCCCUGC